rnacentral:lncRNA from 1 species
CAGAAAGAAGAUGAGACUACAGAAUAUUAGGAAAUACAUUGCCAUGAACAAGUAGGAUUUGAAAGCAGUCUGCUGUCUUAUGCACUGAAGCUGAGGACCCACACUUUAACAGAAUCUAAAUGCCAGAAGAAACAUGGACUCAGAUGAAAUUGUACAACAUGUGGUCUUUUUCUUCUGAGCCCCAAAAUGUAAAGAACUUUCCGGAAGAAGAAGAAAUGGGGCAGAAGAAGAAGUCAGAGAGAUUUGAGCACCAGAAGGACUUGACAUGCUAUUGCUGGUUUGAAGAUGAAGAGGGCAAUAUAACAGCAAUGCAGCUCUGGCAUUAAGUGCUGAGAGAGGCUCCCUGCUGACAGACAGCAAGGAAAUAAAGACCACAGUCCCACUGCCACAAGAAACUGAUUUCUGCAAACAACAUGGAACAGCUUAGAUGAAAUUUCUCCCCAGAUAAUAACCCAGGUGAGCCAAUACAUUAAUUUUGGCCAUGUAAAACCUACAGAAGAGGAACCAGUGAAAUUUACUCUGAUUUCUGUCCUACAGAACUUAAUGUGAAUGGCUUUAAGCCACUACAUUUAUAGUAUUUUGUUACAGCAGUGACAGAAAACUAGUGUAACAUAUAAACACAAAGAAGGGAAAUAAUGAUAUCUGUAUAAAUAAUUAAAAUAUAAAAAUUGACCAAGAUGGCCAACUAGACACAGCCAGGAAGAGCAUCUACCACUGUGAGAAAAUACCUUCAAUAAACCAGCACACUCUGUGCAGA